UUGUGAAAAGCUUCAAUAUUGUAGUGUCACACUCUAAUCAGCUAUAGAAUUCACAAUCACGGGGAAGACUGCUGACCUGACAGUUGUGCAGAAAACCAUCAUUGACAAAGCCUCAAAAGGUAAUUGCAAAAGAAGUGGGAUGUUCUCAAAGUGCUGUAUCAUAGCACAUUAAUAGAAAGUGGAAGGUAAAAGUGUGGAAGAAAAAGGUGCACAAGCAGCAGGGAUGACCGCAGCCUGGAGAGGAUUGUCUGAAAAAGGCCAUUCAAAAGUGGGGAACUUCACAAGGAGUGGACUGAGGCUGGAGUUACUGCAUCAAGAGCCACCACACACAGAAGGAUCCUGGACAUUGGCUUCAAAUGUCGUAUUCCUCUUGUCAAGCCGCUCCUGAACAACAAACAACGUCAGAGAACUGGUCUGUUGCUCUGUGGUCCAAAGUCACCUUUUCUGAUGAGAGCAAAUUUUGCAUCUCAUUUGGAAACCAAAGUCCCAGAGUCUGGAGGAAGAAUGGAGAGGCACACAAUCCAAGAUGCUUGUGUUGAUUUAGGGAGACAUGUCGUCCACCGUGCUCUUUUAAGUCCAGAGUCAACGCAGCCAUCUACCAGGACAUUUUAGAGCACUUCAUGCUUCCUUCAGCAGACAAGCUUUAUGGAGAUGCUGACUUCAUUUUCCAGCAGGAUUUGGCACCUGCCCACACUGCCAAAAGUACCAAAACGCCGCUACUGAAGCAUCCUGGUCUUUCAUAACACCUCAGCAGUGCCACAGGCUGAUGGCAUCCAUG